rnacentral:rRNA from 1 species
UUGGUGACCAGCGGAGGGAUCAUUACCGAGUUUACAACUCCCAAACCCAAUGUGAACGUUACCAAACUGUUGCCUCGGCGGGAUCUCUGCCCCGGGUGCGUCGCAGCCCCGGACCAAGGCGCCCGCCGGAGGACCAACCAAAACUCUUAUUGUAUACCCCCUCGCGGGUUUUUUACUAUCUGAGCCAUCUCGGCGCCCCUCGUGGGCGUUUCGAAAAUGAAUCAAAACUUUCAACAACGGAUCUCUUGGUUCUGGCAUCGAUGAAGAACGCAGCGAAAUGCGAUAAGUAAUGUGAAUUGCAGAAUUCAGUGAAUCAUCGAAUCUUUGAACGCACAUUGCGCCCGCCAGUAUUCUGGCGGGCAUGCCUGUCCGAGCGUCAUUUCAACCCUCGAACCCCUCCGGGGGGUCGGCGUUGGGGAUCGGCCCUUUACGGGGCCGGCCCCGAAAUACAGUGGCGGUCUCGCCGCAGCCUCUCCUGCGCAGUAGUUUGCACACUCGCAUCGGGAGCGCGGCGCGUCCACAGCCGUUAAACACCCCAAACUUCUGAAAUGUUGACCUCGGAUCAGGUAGGAAUACCCGCUGAACUUAAGCAUAUCAA